ACGGAGGGUGCAAGCGUUAUCCGGAAUUACUGGGUUUAAAGGGUGCGUAGGCGGUACAUUAAGUCAGAGGUGAAAGGUUAUCGCUUAACGAUAAGAUUGCCUUUGAUACUGGUGUACUUGAAUCAGAAUGAGGUUGGCGGAAUGUGACAUGUAGCGGUGAAAUGCAUAGAUAUGUCAUGGAACACCGAUUGCGAAGGCAGCUGACUGGAACUUGAUUGACGCUGAGGCACGAAAGCGUGGGGAGCGAACAGG
rnacentral:rRNA from 1 species